GGAGAGGUGGCCGAGAGGCUUAAGCGGCGGUUUGCUAAACCUUAUACGGUUUAAUAUCGUAUCAAGGGUUCGAAUCCCUUUUCUCCCCA
rnacentral:tRNA from 1 species